GUUUUCCUCCUUACCAAACACACCCUUAGUUAAAGACAAGUUGUAAAUUAGAUAGGGAGAAAUAUGAGGAAGAGGAGUCAGAGAGAGGCCUAUAAAUUCACUGCCGUCCAUGAAGCAAAAAAUUGCACAGCAAUAACACAUAAUUCUCUUAUAUUUUCUCCAUCUUAGUAAUACUUUUGUCAUGGCUCGCAGUUAUGCUUUCUAUUUCACUGUGGCGCUUAUAGUGAUGUCUGUUUAUUUGGCUGAGUCUCCAAGAGUGAAAAUGGAUGCUGCUUGCGAUGGAUACUGUCGUCCAAGCACUAGCCCUUGUACUGAUAGGAAGUGUUCUCGUUGUCUCUACGAUGUUAUUAAACAUACCUACGGCUGCCACCCGACAUAAAGGAUUACUGAUGGCCAACACAAUAUGAAUGAUGUUGCUUCUAAGUUCUAAAUAUGAGUAUAUGUUUGUGUGUUUAUUGUCUUUGCUUUUGUGUUUUCCUUUUCCCAUUUCGGUUUUCCUUAAUGGAAAAAAAUAAGUUCCUAGAUUACAAUGUCGAAUGUAUAUCACGAUGGGUUGUCUUGGCCUACAUCUGUUCCUACAGUAUUUUGUUGUUUAGAUGGUUAUUACUUAUUGUAUUGUAUAUGUUAAUUUAAAUACAAUAUUUUUUUUAUUGUUAUUUAAAGUAUAUUGUACGUAUUGCAAAACUCAUCGUUCUGUAACUACAAAAAAUCUCAUUAUAUGUAAUGGCCAAUUUGGUGUG